rnacentral:rRNA from 1 species
GUGCCAGCCGCCGCGGUAAUACGGAGGGUGCAAGCGUUAAUCGGAAUUACUGGGCGUAAAGCGCACGCAGGCGGUCUGUCAAGUCGGAUGUGAAAUCCCCGGGCUCAACCUGGGAACUGCAUUCGAAACUGGCAGGCUAGAGUCUUGUAGAGGGGGGUAGAAUUCCAGGUGUAGCGGUGAAAUGCGUAGAGAUCUGGAGGAAUACCGGUGGCGAAGGCGGCCCCCUGGACAAAGACUGACGCUCAGGUGCGAAAGCGUGGGGAGCAAACAGGAUUAGAUACCCUGGUAGUCCACGCCGUAAACGAUGUCGACUUGGAGGUUGUGCCCUUGAGGCGUGGCUUCCGGAGCUAACGCGUUAAGUCGACCGCCUGGGGAGUACGGCCGCAAGGUUAAAACUCAAAUGAAAUUGACGGGGGCCCGCACAAGCGGUGGAGCAUGUGGUUUAAUUCGAUGCAACGCGAAGAACCUUACCUACUCUUGACAUCCA